rnacentral:rRNA from 1 species
GUGAGGAAUAUUGGUCAAUGGGCGGGAGCCUGAACCAGCCAAGUCGCGUGAAGGAAGAAGGAUCUAUGGUUCGUAAACUUCUUUUGCAGGGGAAUAAAGUGCAGGACGUGUCCUGUUUUGUAUGUACCCUGAGAAUAAGGAUCGGCUAACUCCGUGCCAGCAGCCGCGGUAAUACGGAGGAUCCGAGCGUUAUCCGGAUUUAUUGGUUUUAAAGGGUGCGUAGGUGGUUUGAUAAGUCAGCGGUGAAAGUUUGCAGCUUAUCUGUAAAAAUGCCGUUGAAACUGUCGGACUUGAGUGUAAAUGAGGUAGGCGGAAUGCGUGGUGUAGCGGUGAAAUGCAUAGAUAUCACGCAGAACUCCGAUUGCGAAGGCAGCUUACUAAGCUACAACUGACACUGAAGCACGAAAGCGUGGGGAUCAAACAGGAUUAGAUACCCGGGUAGUCC